GAUGAACGCUGGCGGCGUGCCUAAUACAUGCAAGUCGAGCGAACGGACGAGAAGCUUGCUUCUCUGAUGUUAGCGGCGGACGGGUGAGUAACACGUGGAUAACCUACCUAUAAGACUGGGAUAACUUCGGGAAACCGGUGCUAAUACCGGAUAAUAUUUUGAACCGCAUGGUUCAAAAGUGAAAGACGGUCUUGCUGUCACUUAUAGAUGGAUCCGCGCUGCAUUAGCUAGUUGGUAAGGUAACGGCUUACCAAGGCAACGAUGCAUAGCCGACCUGAGAGGGUGAUCGGCCACACUGGAACUGAGACACGGUCCAGACUCCUACGGGAGGCAGCAGUAGGGAAUCUUCCGCAAUGGGCGAAAGCCUGACGGAGCAACGCCGAGUGAGUGAUGAAGGUCUUCGGAUCGUAAAACUCUGUUAUUGGGGAAGAACAUAUGUGUAAGUAACUGUGCACAUCUUGACGGUACCUAAUCAGAAAGCCACGGCUAACUACGUG
rnacentral:rRNA from 1 species